UACGAGAGGCCCAAACGUUAUUCGGAAUUACUGGGCUUAAAGAGUUCGUAGGCGGCAUUGCAAGUAGGGUGUGAAAGCCCUCGGCUCAACCGAGGAAUUGCGCUCUAAACUGCAGUGCUUGAGGACCUAGAGGUGAGCAGAACAGAUGGUGGAGCGGUGAAAUGCGUUGAUAUCAUCUGGAAUACCGGAGGCGAAGGCGGCUCACUGGGAGUUUUCUGACGCUGAGGAACGAAAGCCAGGGUAGCGAACGGG
rnacentral:rRNA from 1 species